AAAUGAGGGCCGCAAAGGAUACAUCAGCUGCGUCCUUCAGGUCACUCUGAAAUUCAGCUGAAUUUUUAGGCUCUUUAAUAUGGAACAGUCUUGUAUGAUGCAGCAGGUGCAGAAUAGGAUUUAAAACAAAGCUGCUUUGAUAAAAACAGGAAUCAUCAGGAACAUGAGAUGAUGUUGACCUGUGAUCUCUCUCUCUUUCUGUAAGCGAUGGAGGUGGAGGUGUUCUGGGGGAGGAGAGAGAGGGACAGUGUUUUCUCUAGAGGAGAGUGGGAGAUCAUCUCUCUCGCUGUUCCUCCAGAUCUUCAGUCCAUUCCUCACUUCAACACCUCCACCAUCAGAGUACAGGUCACUGUAAGGCGGUCUCCACUUCUUUAUGUGGUCACCCUGCUGUUGCCGAGCGCUCUGAUGCUGGUUCUGGACCUGCUGGCCUUCCUGAUUCCAGUCCACCUUAAACAGCGUCUCAGCGUGAUGGCUACUGUCUACACCGGUCACUUCAUCUUCAUCAUCACCGUCUUCACUCUCUUCCCACCGUUUACUCAACAACUGCCUCUGAUCGAAAUGUAUCUGUUUGGCACUCUGGGGCUCCUAGCAUUGGGUGCUGUAGAAACCGCCAUAUUGUUCCAGCUGGCCAAUGGGAGGAGCUCAUGGGUAACCAAGCACGUGUUUACUACUUUGUGGAAGCAAACAGGGCGGAGUCAGUGGGUGGAGCCUCAAAUGCAUAGUAAGCUUCAGUUAUAAUGAACGUAAAUACUAAGUGAGUGCGUUUAAAUGCACUUCUAUUACAUGAAUCUGGUUAAUCAAGUAAUGUUUUUUUAUCUUCGUCUUCUCCGUGUUCUCCUCUAGGGGGCGCUGGAGUGUGUAUGUGCUCACGGCUGGAAGAGUGUGUGUACGCUCUGCAGGAGGAGCUCACACACAUUCGCCACUUCCUCCAAGAUCUACGUCAGGAUAGGACCACACUGAGCAUGUGCAGAGAGCUGAGUUUAGCUAUAGACCGGACCUUCCUGUACCUGCACUGCCUCGUCCUGGCCAUCGGGGGCACUGUGCUGUACUGCCAGUGGAGGAGCACAGCAUGAAAAAAAGUGUGGACAAAUGCUGCUGUUAG
rnacentral:lncRNA from 1 species